rnacentral:lncRNA from 1 species
AGGAGGAGGAGGAGACGAAUGGGUUGAAAGUGAUAUAAAGUCGUUGGAGUGGAAACAUGAUGUUUCUUCUCUAAUUCCACACGCUUUGGAUCCAAUUAUUAUUUUUUAAAAUUAGUUUUAAUAGUUUAACGGGAUCAUUUUCAUUUUUAUUUCUUCUUUGUUUAUUUUGUUUGUUUUUCCUUUUAUUUUUUCAUCUUAGGUAUCAACCUCACUUGAGAGAGCAUGUUCAUGAUGCAUCAAGUCAAGCAAAGAUAAGACAACUCGGAUAAAUUUUUUAAGAGCUUAAAUAGGGAAAAAUCCUCUUCUUUGCUUGGCACAUUAGAGACAAUAUUCAAUUAACUUUUUUUUUUUGCAUAUUUUUC